UUCCUGUUUGACGUCCCCAAGAUGAUGGACCUGUGCGUGCUCUUCGGAAAGGGCAACGCUGCGCUGCUGCACAAGAUGAUCGACAACAUCUUCCUUCAACAGCCGUCUUACUACAGUGACCUGGAGGACACCGUGCCCACUAUUUUGGAGGUGAGACCAAAUUCUGGGCCCAUUCAUAAACCCGUCACGCAGC